rnacentral:rRNA from 1 species
UACAGGGGGUGCAAACGUUGCUCGGAAUCAUUGGGCGUAAAGCGCACGUAGGCGGUUUGUUAUGUCGGAUGUGAAAGCCCUUGGCUUAACUGAGGAAGUGCAUCCGAAACUGGCAGGCUAGAGUACUAAAGAGGGUCGCGGAAUUCCCGGUGUAGAGGUGAAAUUCGUAGAUAUCUGGAAGAACACCGGUGGCGAAGGCGGCGUCCUGGACCAACACUGACACUGAUGAGCGAAAGCCAGGGGAGCAAACGGG